UAAUAUAACACUCCACACUGCUCAUUUAAUACACUAUAACACCAUUCACGCUUAUACCAACUCACAAAAUUUAAAAUUAAAAUUUAUCACACACAUUGAAAACAUUUUCAUCGCUUAUCGUUCAUCGUCAUCGCUCAUCGUUCAUCGUCAUCAUAACAUCACCAGAAACUACUGCACGCUAUUUACAUAGCUGUCCAUUUAAUUUUGUUUUUCUUGAAACUUAGUUUCAUACAUUGGCGGUGGCGUUAACCCGUUCCAACGGGGCGGCCAAAAAAUUCUUCCCUCUUCACUUCCCUGAACUGAACUUAAUAUAUAAAAAAAAAAAACUAAAAUAUACGUUCAAAUUGGUAUAGAUUUCGACAAAUAUUGGUGUUGGCGGCGCUUCGAUAUGGAGAAGACUUUGAAAAAGCAGAACAGCAAUGUUGCCUGUCAAGAGGAAGAAGGAACGUUCCCAAAAAAGCGCAAGAAAUAUGGGCUAUCUUCUCUAUGGAACUAUUUUGACUACCAAGUGCAAAAUAUGUGGUAAAACCUACCAAACAAGUGGCAAUACGACAAACUUGUCUUGCCACUUAAAAGCCAUUCAUCCGACUUUAACAAUAAGCGAAUUGCCACAAAGACAGACGACCUCAAUUCUGUCGUUCAUUGACAAAAAAUACGAAACGUCGUCGGACCGCAAACGAAAAUUGGACAGUGCCUUAUGCUACUACAUUACCUCAGACUUGCGGCCUUUUUCAGUGGUGGAAAAUAAAGGCUUCCGCAAUUUUGUAAGCCUCCUUGAUCCAAGAUAUGAAUUGCCUUCACGGACCACCUUAAGAAAUGCUUCGAUGGCAAAUGCAUACAAUGAAAAGGAGGCCAAAUUUUGCGCCUUUUUAAAAAACGAUAAGCACUGUGCAAUCACUUCAGAGUGCUGGACCUCCAGGGCCAACGAGUGCUACGUUACUGUGACGUGACGUUUUAUAACAGAGGAUUUCGAAUUGCGCAACGCUGUUUUGUCCACUGAAAAGCUCCUCGACGAAACGAGCCAUUCUUUUGAAAAUAUUGCAAACUCUUUACUCUACACAGUACUCGAGGAAUGGAGAGUUUUAGGGAAGGUCACUGCAAUGUUCACAGAUAACGCCAAAAAUAUGAUAAAAGCAUGUGAGAUACUGCUAAUAAGACAUAUUCCAUGCUUUGCGCAUUCAAUCAAUUUGACUGUCCAGGACUGUUUGGCUACAGAAAAAGUCAAGCCCAUUCUUGAAAAGUGUAAGCGUAUUGUUUCGCUUUUUAAAAGUAGCACAAUUGCGUAUGCCAAGUUUAAAGAGGCUCAGGAAUGCGAACGUCCUUAUAGUUUAAAGCAAGAAUGUCCUACAAGAUGGAACACCGGCUAUUAUAUGUUGGAUCAAAAUUCUGAUCACAAAGAUUGCCAUCGCAAGUGUGCUACUAAACACGCCCAAAGGGCUAAUGCCGCCAACAUCUGAAGAAAUAUCCAUUCUGGAGGAUUUAAAGGCAAUACUUUCACCCUUUCAACAUGCAACGGUACACACAUCUUCGAGUACUUCUGUGACAGUGUCUUCAGUGAAUCCGGUUGUUUGUGGUAUUUUACACAAUCUGACAGGCAUGAAAACUAAACUCCAGACUAAGGUGGGCCAAGAUGUCUGUGAUGACAUACAUCAAGGGGUCAAUAAAAGAUAAUAAUUCCUCCCAAGGGAUUAAAUCGUUGGAGGAUGAACCGUCGCUCAUCAAUGCUCCAACAAAAUCUUCUGCAUUUUCAAGCCCGCCAACACCAGAAUCCACAGCAGAAUCCAACCUAUUAUUCAGUUUUUUACAAACUAAUCAAACUCAGAAAACUCAAAGCGGUCAAAGCCAUAUUGGCUUUGCGACAAUACUUGAAUCCGAGUAAUUUGGACCCUGCCCAAAACCCUUUGGAUUAUUGGAAGAUAUCAAAUGACGCCGGAUUCAAAACUUGCGUUGUUAAAUACUUCUGCGUACCGGCCACCUCUACUGAAAGUGAGAGGAUGUUCAGUAAAGCUGGACUAGUCGUUAGCGAGAAGAGAAGCUCUCUAAAACCAAAGAAUGUCAAUAUGAUAUUAUUUCUAAACAAAAAUGAUUGGAUAAUUUAGUUUUAGUUAUGUUACUUUUUACUUAUUUUUUGAGAAGAACUUUAUACUGUUAAUUAUUUUAUUUUUAGUUGAAUUGUGACUUAUUUUUAAUUUUUGAGUUGCACCAGUAGUUUAAGUUUUACUUUGAAAUUGCAUGAAACAAAAAUAGAAAACAAUGGAUCUC